AGUCGAUGAUUAUAACAUAAUAUUUGCUACUCCUCAUUGAGUUAAGACUCAUGACGACAGACAUUAUCACCAAGAUCGAUGAGAUU
rfam:Fistulifera solaris DNA, contig: scaffold00069, strain: JPCC DA0580.